GGUUGAUCCUGCCAGUAGUCAUAUGCUUGUCUUAAAAAUUAAGCCAUGCAAGUCUAAGUAUAAGCGAAUUUAUACAGUGAGACUGCAGAAGGCUCAUUAUAUCAGUUAUUGUCUAGGCGAUGGGCAAAUUACUACAUGGAUAACUGUAGUAAUUCUAGAGCUAAUACAUGCCAUAAAGCUUCUUUCUUUGAGAGAGGUGGCCUUAUUAGUUGCAAAAGCCAGCCCGACUUGUCGGAGCCUUGGUGAUUCAUAAUAAUGUAGCCCAAU
rnacentral:rRNA from 1 species